rnacentral:rRNA from 1 species
GACAGAGGGUGCAAACGUUGUUCGGAAUUACUGGGCGUAAAGCGCGUGUAGGCUGCUCGGUAAGUCGGAUGUGAAAGCCCUGGGCUCAACCUAGGAAGUGCAUUCGAAACUUCCGAGCUGGAGUGCUGGAGAGGAAGGCGGAAUUCUCGGUGUAGAGGUGAAAUUCGUAGAUAUCGGGAGGAACACCGGUGGCGAAGGCGGCCUUCUGGACAGCCACUGACGCUGAGACGCGAAAGCGUGGGGAGCAAACAGG